rnacentral:rRNA from 1 species
GACAGAGGGUGCAAACGUUGCUCGGAAUCACUGGGCGUAAAGGGCGUGUAGGCGGGAAGGAAAGUCGGGCGUGAAAUCCCUGGGCUCAACCCAGGAACUGCACUCGAAACUUCUUUUCUUGAGUGCCGGAGAGGAAAGCGGAAUACCUGGUGUAGAGGUGAAAUUCGUAGAUAUCAGGUGGAACACCAGUGGCGAAGGCGGCUACCUGGACCAGCACUGACACUGAGGCACGAAAGCGUGGGGAGCAAACAGG